CAUCCCAACUUUUGUGAAUCUUGAAUGGCUUUCCCUAAUGUCAUUGGUGCGCUGGACUGCACACAGAUCCGCAAUAAACGCCGCUCAGGGGCCCACGAGGGAGAUUAUGUCAACAGAAAAUCCUUCCACAGUAUCAAUGUUCAGGCAAAGUGGCCUGGGUCCGUCCAUGACUCCCGAG